ACUCCUUUAGUUUAUUUUAGAACAUAACACUUUCAAGGUUAAAGAUAUAAAGGAGAA
rnacentral:tRNA from 1 species